ACUCCAUUCGCUUCUCCAGACUCUGUGCCCUUUUUUUUCCUUCUCUAUUUACUCACCACAUUGGGGUCUCAUCGUGUUCGUACGUCGCCGCUGAGUUCUCGUUGCAUUUAUCCUUCGUCGUUCUCCGUUCAAAUGUUCAAAUGGUAGAUUAAAUUUAUAGUUUAGCUGAGAUUUUCGGAAUCGUGUGCAUUGUUUAUGCGUCUUCAAGGUGCUUUCGUUUCCUCGCGGGAGCGAUUUCGGCGUUGCUUAUGACGCAUGGAGGUGAAGACGCAGUUGAUGACGUAGUAGAAGCCCCUGGCCAUUGUGAGGAAUGAAUCUGAAGAAUUUUGGAGCACCAAUUGCACAAGUUCUAGCAUGUCUGAUUCUAUUUGAGGGGUAGUCAUGCAUGUUAUCCUCUUGUCUCUGCCACUAUCAUGUGCCUGACAAUGAUUAUAGAAGUAGGAAAAUUCAGGGUCUGGAAUCUAAUCUAAGCAUAAAGAUUAUUCUGAAUUUAAAGAUACUCAAGCAGAUCUUAUGUACCAAGGAGGCAAGAAUUUUAAUUUUUUGGUUUGAAUAUGUUUUUAUUCUUAAAAAUAUGUUUAUGUUAGAAUUCAUUUAUUAAGAAUAGCAUUUUAAUUCAUCAUGAAAGGAAGUAUAAUCUUAAUCAUUGAAAAAUGUUUAGAUCUGAAUUUUAGGUAUUGGUAUUAUUUUCUUAAUUCAACAUCUUAAAAUAUUAUUUAGUGUUAAAUGGUAGGCUGGUGCUAACAUAUAUUCAUCCAUGAUUUGGUAAAUGCAUAUUGUUUGCUAUUUUGUUGUUACAGAACAGAACAAACUAUUAUUUUUUGCUAUUAUCUUUUAAUGAUUUUUAGACUAGACUAACCACAACAACCAGAUUAAUUUAUUCUCCAAUUCUAAUAAUGUAAUUAAAGAAAUUAUCUUAUGUGUUACUUGAAGAUUGUUGAUUUUGAAAUUAGUACUACAACUAAUGAAUGUAUAUGGAAAACAGGAUGAGGAAUGUAGCAAUUGUAGCUCUCUGGCCAACGCUUUAAGUUUCUAAGGAAGCUGGUUUUGGGAGGAGCUUAUUUGAAAGAUUGAGUUCGUUAGGUUACUAAAAGUCUCUCCUAAACGUGCAGCACAGGAUGCACCCGGAAAUAAGUUCUUUCCCAAUUUCUCAUUUCUAUUGCAACAAAAUUCAGGAUGCACCAAAUGUGGAAAGACAUGACUAUGGCAAUGCAAUAACCCGUCCUUUUAGAAAAAACAUCUUCUAUAUUUUAGUUUGCAUUUCUUUAUUUGACAGAAGUUCUGAAUAAAGGAUUUAGAUGGUUUAUUCCAUCGUUAUAUUUGAUUACUGGUUUCUAACUACGAAAUUAUACUUGUCCUGGUAGUAUUAACUAAAAUUAAUAAUUUGAUUCACCUUAGUGUGAAAAUAUUAACUUUAUUAUUUUCACUUGUAUAUUCACUGAUUCAAGUAAACAGAAACAGAAAACAGAAAGACAGUGCUUUUACAAUCCAUGCUGUCUGAAUUUGAAUAAAGGGCUACCUUUUCUUUGAAGCAACAUGGCUGACAUCAAAACAUGAAUUCAACAUCGGUAUUGUGACUCCCUAUGCUGGCCAAGUUGCUGCAAUUCAAGAGAAACUUGGAAAGAUUUAUAAAAGUGAUGAUAGAUUUAAUGUCAUUGUGAGUUCUGUUAAUGGUUUUCAAGGAGGGGAGAAGGAUAAUAUCAUGUUAUCAACUGUAAGAACAAGCAGUAGAUCAUCUCUUGAGUUCAUUUCCUCUCCGCAGAGGACUAAUGUUACUCUUACAAGGGCUAGGCACUGCUUGUGGAUUUUGGGAAAUGAACGGGCGAUUACAAACAAUGAAAAUGUUUGGAAGGCUACAGUGCUUGAUGCCAAGAACCGUAAGUGCUUCUUUAACGCCGACCAAGACGUGGAAAUGGCGAAAGCUAUAUUGGAUUCCAAGAAAAAGGCAUAUCAGUUUGAUGAUUUACUUGAUACAAAUAGUGUCCUGUUCAGGAGCAAAUUAUGGAAGGUUUAUUUUAGUGAUUCAUGAGGUCAUUCAAACGGCUAAAAUCUGAAGUGACUAAGAGAAUAGGGUUAUCAACCUUCUUGAAAGGCUUUCCGAUGGAUGGAGGCCCAAAUGGAUUAAUGUGGAUUUGUGUUGUGAAACAUCAUCUCAGAUUUUGAAGAAGUUUAAGGUUGAAAAUAAUUAUGUUAUUUGUUCAAGAGAAAUAGUCAAAGGUUCAAGAUAUAUUCAGGUUUUGAAGAUACGGAGAAGGUGGAUUCGGCCCAGUUUACAAGCUUCAAUCCAACUGAUUCAUAUAUCUGGUUUGAAUUGUAUGGACCACCAUCAGAUCGGGAUGUUAAUCUAAUCGGUAAUAUCGAGAUAUGAAAGUGCUCCUUGUAAAUUAUAAGGACUACACACUGAAGUUUUGAGAGUAGCAGAGUGUGACUCUUGCAGCAUAAAAUGAAAGUAGAGACAUGCAAGGAUUACACAAUAAUCGUAAACUUUGUGGCCAAAUUAUGCGUGCAAUGGGUUAGGUGGCAUGAUGUUUGUUGCUAUAUUUAAGCAUGAAGGGAAUAUAGUUAUAAAGAACACUCUUAAUUGCAAAUAUGUACUAUCUCUAAUAGAAAUUUAAUAGUUAUGAUCAAUCAUUUUUCUUUUUUUCCUUGAUUAUUGUUUUUUGAUCAUAGGUUGUACUAUAUGAAGUGAAGAUGAGCUCAAAUAGACUUUAAAUAAACUCUUCCUAACUGAUAUUAAUUUGAUCAUGGCUUAGGAAUGUGAGUUCAUGAUUGUGGCUUGAAUAUA